rnacentral:rRNA from 1 species
GACGAACGCUGGCGGCGUGCCUAAUACAUGCAAGUAGAACGCACAGUUUAUACCGUAGCUUGCUACACCAUAGACUGUGAGUUGCGAACGGGUGAGUAACGCGUAGGUAACCUGCCUGGUAGCGGGGGAUAACUAUUGGAAACGAUAGCUAAUACCGCAUAAUAUUGAUUAUUGCAUGAUAAUUGAUUGAAAGAUGCUAUUGCAUCACUACCAGAUGGACCUGCGUUGUAUUAGCUAGUAGGUGAGGUAACGGCUCACCUAGGCGACGAUACAUAGCCGACCUGCGAGGGGGAUCGGCAACACUAGGACGGAGACAGGGACCAGAGAACGGCGGGAGGGAGCAGGAGGGAAGCUUCGGCAAGGGACGAGAGUCGGACAGAGCAGCGGGGAGUGAGGGAAGGAGGUGUUGGGAGCGGAAAGCUCUGUUGUGAGAGAUGAACGGUGGGAGAGGGGAAAGUACACGCUGUGACGGUAUGUGACCAGAAAGGGACGGCUAACUACGUG